UAAGGUAAAUUUUCAUUAAAGGAGUGGCACAAUGGCCAAUGUCCCCUCCUUUUCGCACCACAUGUGAACUGUUGAAGCAGUUUAUCUCUAUGCUGAUUCCUUGAAAGACCCCCAAAAAUUGCUUAAGCACAUGACAGUCUGUGACCCUCCUCUGCACUCCCUGGAAGGAAACAUGUGAGAUGUUAUACUCCUAGUGAUAAAUUGUAGAUACCAUGAUAGUAUAUUAAUUUUUUUCGUUUUUCUCCCCUGGCGUUUGAAGAAGUCCAACAACCAAGUAAAAGACAAGGUGGUAAAGAGCCUGAGCCCCUUAACUAAAGGUUUUGAGUUCGAGUUCUGAGAAUGGAAAAAAAGGAUUGGGGAGAGCAGCCCCUAAAAGAGUUCGACAGUGCUCGAUGGGGAUUAGUCUUCGGUUACAGCUGGAGGAUACCCUUGAGAUUACUAAAAUAUAUAUAUAUAUAUAUAUAUAUAUAUCAAAAUGUUAAAUUUUAGGACUCACUUUGAGCAUUGACAGGUUCGGUUUGCCACAUGUUAUGUGUAUAGGAACCAAUUCUAAACAGUGACUAGUCUAGGAUCCAUCAUAUGUCAAAAUUGUAACCCAACUGCAUAAAAAGACACCAUCAAUUGUCAUGUGUUGCGCAUACAGCGCCCCGCUUUUAAUAAUGACACGUUAUGGACUUAUCACUACUCAAAAUAGGUCCCUAUAUGUGUGACAUGAGGCAAAUUGAACGUGUCGAUGCUAAGAAUAGGUCUUGAA